AUGAUGCGUCAAUGGACUAGAGUCUGCACCAGCUAAGUAGGCUGAAGGCCUACUGCCCUAAGGGUUCUAAACUGGUCUUAUAUGGGGAUAAAGUGCGCCACGUGCGGACUUUAUUAUGUACGGUAUGAAUUAGGAUCGGCUAAUCCCGUGCUAGCAGCCGCGGCCAUACAGAGGAUGAGAGCGUCAUCCGGAUAUAUUUGGUUUCCAGGGUGCCUAGGCG
rnacentral:rRNA from 1 species